AAAAUCCGUCGAUUUUAGAAAUCGUGAGGGUUCGAGUCCCUCUAUCCCCA
rnacentral:tRNA from 2 species